rnacentral:rRNA from 1 species
UACGUAGGGCGCGAGCGUUGUCCGGAAUUAUUGGGCGUAAAGAGCUCGUAGGCGGCCAGUUGCGUCCGCUGUGAAAUCCCGGGGCUCAACCCCGGGCUUGCAGUGGAUACGGGCUGGCUGGAGGCAGGCAGGGGAGAACGGAAUUCCCGGUGUAGCGGUGAAAUGCGCAGAUAUCGGGAAGAACACCCGUGGCGAAGGCGGUUCUCUGGGACGGUACUGACGCUGAGACGCGAAAGCGUGGGGAGCGAACAGG